rnacentral:rRNA from 1 species
AUUGAACGCUGGCGGCAGGCCUAACACAUGCAAGUCGAACGGUAGCACAGAGAGCUUGCUCUCGGGUGACGAGUGGCGGACGGGUGAGUAAUGUCUGGGAAACUGCCUGAUGGAGGGGGAUAACUACUGGAGACGGUAGCGAAUACCGCAUAACGUCGCAAGACCAAAGAGGGGGACCUUCGGGCCUCUUGCCAUCAGAUGUGCCCAGAUGGGAUUAGCUGGUAGGUGGGGUACCGGCUCACCAAGGCGACGGUCCCUAGCUGGUCUGAGAGGAUGGCCAGCCACACUGGACCUGAGACACGGUCCCGACUGCUACGGGAGGCAGCUGGGGGGAAUAUUGCACAAUGGGCGCAAGCCUGAUGCAGCCAUGCCGCGUGUAGGAAGAAGGCCUUCGGGUUGUAAAGUACUUUCAGCGGGGAGGAAGGGAGUAAGCUUAAUAACCUUGCUCAUUGACGUUACCCGCAGAAGUAGCACCGGCUAACUCCGUGCCAGCCGCCGCGGUAA